CAACCAGAAACAUGCGGAACGCUGCGCUUGUCCGGGUACACUGACGAAGCAGAAAUGCAGAGAGCACUUCACUUGUCACUUCUACUCUGCCAUGCAUAUGAUGCAUCCGAGUGGCACCUCGUGCCAAUGCGAGAUCCUCCGUUUUCGCCCGAUUGUCAUGGCAUCUAUGGCUGUGAACGAAGAGGCGUGAGCCGGUUCUGCAGGCUUGGUGCAUUAGCAAGAUAGGAAGCUGUCCUUGCCUGGGUGUAGAUAUGGCUCAUGACAUCUGCUCUACACUUUGGAGUCCCGUUCCGUGGUGUUUCCCAUUCCCGAACCCAUCUGCUGAAGUUCUCUGGAUGGCAAUAGUAUGGCAGGCUCUCCCUAUGGCUCUCUUGCAUUGUACCCAGCAGGCAGUAGCUGCAAGCUCUAGCACCUCUUAUAUAUGGACUGCAGAUCGAGGAGGAUAGGACGGGAGUACAAUAUAAAUUAACCGGAAAGCGAAUAAUACUAUAUAUCCAGCACAGAUGAUGCGAAAUGCAAUGGGCUCUGCUAGCUGAAUAUGACGACUAUCAUCAGUGUUGAUGUUGAUUCGGCUAGCACCUAAAGGAACAAUGGCCCCAUGCUCACAUCUGCGAUCAACAGUAAUGAAGAUGAGUUAUUGUGGCAUUAUUAUUACCUAUUGUUGUGCCCCUUGCAUAAAAAUCUUGAAAAAGCCAUACAUUUACUUCGUGCGAGAAAAUUUAUCACUAGAGCAAAGAGGACAUGCUUUCUGAUCCUUUUCCUCAAAGUGCACAUAUGAACAUUAUUUGCAGAAAUUAUGGAAGACAUAUAUGAACUUAAUUCCUGAGAGAGUUUCAGAGGAAGCAGUUCAUUUCUGUGUAACAACUUCAGUUGCCUUGGAGAGCACAGGUGGAGUUGCUUGGCAUUCACGAUUGCGUCAUGGAAUUUGUGGAACUGUAUGUGUGCAUCUUACUCCCUCCAUCCCAAACUACAAGGCAUCCUAGAGAUUUUAGGUCAGGAGGAGGGAGUGAUUACCAAUGUCAAUUCUACUAGGUGAGAAGCGAGAGUGCGAAAAAACAAUGCAACAUUUUAGCAAGAAGGUGUGUCUAGUCCGGCUGAAGUGAACUGAAUAUGCUCAAACUAAUCAAUGGACACACCUAGAUUGAGUAGUACUGGUAGGGACUACAUGCCACGGAAGACUAGUGUGGUAAUUAGCAUGCAUGUGACAUUUGUGUUAAUUUACUUCACAAGAAUCCUCGCUGUAUAUUGAUUCGAUCGUGCUAUACCAAGACCAUAUGUGGGUUCGUUUCCUGCCAUUUUGCCUGAUGGCCAUUGCAGCUCCACUUGUAGGGUCGCAUAAACCCUUUCUAGUCUCAUGGAUGAGCAAAGUUGGAGUGUAACCUUGCUUGCGUACGUAUAUGGCUAGCUAUAGCUGUAUAAGAUCUCAAGAUCCUCUUUCCUGAUGUUUCCCAAUCCCAUUGUUGUUUUCUGUAUC